UAGGGAAUCUUCCGCAAUGGGCGAAAGCUUGACGGAGCAACGCCGCGUGAGUGAUGAAGGUCUUCGGAUCGUAAAACUCUGUUAUUAGGGAAGAACAAAUGUGUAAGUAACUAUGCACGUCUUGACGGUACCUAAUCAGAAAGCCACGGCUAACUACGUGCCAGCAGCCGCGGUAAUACGUAGGUGGCAAGCGUUAUCCGGAAUUAUUGGGCGUAAAGCGCGCGUAGGCGGUUUUUUAAGUCUGAUGUGAAAGCCCCCGGCUCAACCGGGGAGGGUCAUUGGAAACUGGUUGACUUGAGUGCAGAAGAGGAGAGUGGAAUUCCAUGUGUAGCGGUGAAAUGCGUAGAUAUAUGGAGGAACACCAGUGGCGAAGGCGACUCUCUGGUCUGUAACUGACGCUGAGGUUCGAAAGCGUGGGUAGCAAACAGG
rnacentral:rRNA from 1 species